GUCACACUGUUACCGCAUUUCUUCAUUACUGCUUUAAGUGUGGCCAGUGGAAGAGAGUGUGACCGAUAUAGAUAACAGUGUGCAUACAGGUGUCAUGGUUUCAAUUGGUGUUCAUUCAAAUUGAGCUGAAUUAAAUUAGAGAGAUUCAAAUAUUAAUUAAUAGUCUACAAUACAUACCCCACAAAUAAUUUCAAAUUAUUGCAAUAGGAAUUAUUUAAAUUAAUAUAUGCCCACUGGAAUCUUUUUUUGACAUUCUGGUUACCUCCUCAUCAAGCGGUUUGACGAACGCCGUCCCAUCCAAGCAUCAAACAUAAUAUACUUACGGUCACCUUUCUUGGAUAUGCGAAACCUGAGUCUGUUAACAAGUAUACGGCUUAUUAAUUCCUUUUGAAAAAUCGCCAAAUGUCGACACAUUCUCAAAGUUUCUAUCUGUAAGGUGGUUCUUCGGGCCAUGGCCAGGAAAUGCAAAAAUUAAAUAUGUUAAUGAAGGCGAUUAUGCUGAGAAAACAAAUUUAGGUGUGACCACGCCCCCAAACAUGUGGACAAAAAAAAACCAUCUACUGGACCUCGAUGUAUGACACUUAUAAAGCAGGAAAGACUGAUUUGGUCCCAUGACUAUUGCUGGAAAGGAAGGAAGGAAGGAGAGCCCAAAAUAUAUCCACCCAAGUAUAUAAACAUGAUUAACGUCCACAAAACUAUAAACGAAAGAAAAAAAAUCACAAACAUUGAAGGAUAUUCAUAAAAAUAUCAAAGUAAAGAUACUGCAUAAUUCUGUCAUAAAAAUGGUCAUUGCUUACAUCAACCCUGGCCUAUCAAUACAUUAACAUAAGCCUAAACAAUAUCGCAUAUUGUUCCCUGGAGUAAUUAUUGGAAAGCUCAAAUAAGAUUUAAAAAUUGAUAUUAAUUUUCAACAUCGUACACUUUUGAGUGCAGAUCAGUUUUACCAUAUUUUUUUCUAUCACAUUUUCUAAUACUUCAUUAAUCAUUUACCAUACCGCUAUGUCAUGUUCUAUCCUCUCUCGUACGAAACCCGAUGUAGUUAUAACUAAUUAUAACAAUUUUUAGGCCUUAGUAAUAUUUUGAGGCUGAAUAACUAGUAAGCUAAGAGUUUACUUAAUGACUGCUUAAUGCUGCACCUAAACUAUAGUUAGGUUAGAUUUUAGCUCAUCUAGAGUUAAACAGCCGAUUUCGUGAAAGAGAGGAGAGGAAGCUAACUUCAUAUAUUAAUUUCACAUUCGCUUUAACAUCAGAUUAACCUGUCAGGAGAUCUGCAUUCAU